rfam:Plesiomonas shigelloides 302-73 genomic scaffold scaffold00012, whole genome shotgun sequence.
UUGUCCCUGAGAUGUUCGCCAGUGGGUUCGUCCCCUGAGCCGAUAUUCAACAUCUCCAGAGUCCGUCGACUAUGCGGCCUGUGAGCAUGCUCAGUUCGCUGAGAAGCCUAAUGGUUGUAACGAUGGGCUCACCUUGAACCGCGGGUUCAAGGGCUACUACCCGCAGCGGCAUCUUGGGGACUCU